rnacentral:rRNA from 1 species
AUUGAACGCUGGCGGCAGGCCUAACACAUGCAAGUCGAGCGGAUGAGUGGAGCUUGCCCCAUGAUUCAGCGGCGGACGGGUGAGUAAUGCCUAGGAAUCUGCCUGGUAGUGGGGGACAACGUUUCGAAAGGAACGCUGAUACCGCAUACGUCCUACGGGAGAAAGCAGGGGACCUUCGGGCCUCGCGCUAUCAGACGAGCUUAGGACGGAUUAGCUAGUAGGUGAGGUAAUGGCUCACCUAGGCGACGAUCCGUAACUGGUCUGAGAGGACGAUCAGUCACACUGGAACUGAGACACGGUCCAGACUCCUACGGGAGGCAGCAGUGGGGAAUAUUGGACAAUGGGCGAAAGCCUGAUCCAGCCAUGCCGCGUGUGUGAAGAAGGUCUUCGGAUUGUAAAGCACUUUAAGUUGGGAGGAAGGGCAGUAAGUUAAUACCUUGCUGUUUUGACGUUACCAACAGAAUAAGCACCGGCUAACUUCGUGCCAGCCGCCGCCGUAACAC